GUGAAGGUUAAAUCUCACGUGGAUUAACUAAUUACUUGCAAAUUGCAGCCUUCAGCAAUUUUUAAUAAAAGAACACCAUCCGCUUCAUGCUAAACUGUAAAAAUGGAUUUCAUUUUCAUAAUAUUAAUGUUAUUCUAUGGAACAGUGCUAUUAGAAGAAAUCCCAGAAGCAAACAGGGUACAAAUUAUAGAGCAGCUAUGUAGAGAUGGCUUCUAAUCAUAAUUGAACAUGAACAAGAACAAAUAAAUCAAGGAAGAAACUCCUCCACUUCUGCUGACCUAGAUAUGCCAGUUUUAAAGCCAGAUAAAUAUCAAGCAACCUGCAAGCGAAGUUACAUAGCAGCUGAGAGAGUGACAGUCAAGCCCAUCAUGACUGGGGACACUCGGAUACAGCAGAAGCACAGGAACUUGAUUUUGAAAUCAGAUUGCAUACUUGGAACUACCACUGUUCCCGACUUAAGCUCCUUGGCAGAGAUGCUAGCUGAAUGUGCACAUCGCCGAAAAACAUUGCCCAGACGGACGGCGGCAAAUACACUCUGGGCAAGCAACUCACCUCCCAGCUGCAGCCACAGAGCUGUGUCUGGAGUCCUGCAGGUGGCUGGCUGGUCAAGCUGGAAGAGUAGGGUUUGGGUGAUGUCUGCUCUGAGUCACAUUCCGGGACAUGUGAGUAUUUUAGGCUAAAGGAGAAAAGUCCAGUAGACAUGCAGGGAGCCUUCCUCAUGUACUUGAAAGGAAAGACCUGCUCUAUGUUGUUCUUAAAAGGCCAAUAUUUUGAAAUUCCAA
rnacentral:lncRNA from 1 species